ACGUUGAAACAUCGGUUCUCGUACGAUCACCAAAGGUAAGCAACGCCGAGUCUGGUUAGUACCCAGAUGCAUGGCCGCUUAGGAAUACUAGAUGCUGUAA